rnacentral:rRNA from 1 species
GACGAACGCUGGCGGCGUGCUUAACACAUGCAAGUCGAACGGAAAGGCCCUGCUUGCAGGGUACUCGAGUGGCGAACGGGUGAGUAACACGUGGGUGAUCUGCCCUGCACUUCGGGAUAAGCUUGGGAAACUGGGUCUAGUACCGGAUAGGAACCAUCUUUAGUGUGGUGGUUGGAAAGUUUUUUCGGUGUAGGAUGAGCUCGCGGCCUAUCAGCUUGUUGGUGGGGUAAUGGCCUACCAAGGCGGCGACGGGUAGCCGGCCUGAGAGGGUGUACGGCCACAUUGGGACUGAGAUACGGCCCAGACUCCUACGGGAGGCAGCAGUGGGGAAUAUUGCACAAUGGGCGCAAGCCUGAUGCAGCGACGCCGCGUGGGGGAUGAAGGCCUUCGGGUUGUAAACUCCUUUCGCUAGGGACGAAGCUUUUUGUGACGGUACCUAGAUAAGAAGCACCGGCUAACUACGUGCCAGCAGCCGCGGUAAUACGUAGGGUGCGAGCGUUGUCCGGAAUUACUGGGCGUAAAGGGCUCGUAGGUGGUUUGUCGCGUCGUCUGUGAAAUUCUGGGGCUUAACUCCGGGCGUGCAGGCGAUACGGGCAUAACUUGAGUGCUGUAGGGGUAACUGGAAUUCCUGGUGUAGCGGUGAAAUGCGCAGAUAUCAGGAGGAACACCGAUGGCGAAGGCAGGUUACUGGGCAGUUACUGACGCUGAGGAGCGAAAGCAUGGGUAGCGAACAGG